UACGUAGGCAGCGAGCGUUUGUUCGGAUUUAUUGGGCGUAAAGAGCUCGUAGGCGGUUUGUCGCGUCGGCCGUGAAAUCUCCACGCUUAACGUGGAGCGUGCGGUCGAUACGGGCAGACUUGAGUUCGGUAGGGGAGACUGGAAUUCCUGGAUGUAGCGGUGAAAUGCGCAGAGUAUCAGGAGGAACACCGGUGGCGAAGGCGGGUCUCUGGGCCGAUACUGACGCUGGAGGAGCGAAAGCGUGGGGAGCGAACAGG
rnacentral:rRNA from 1 species